AGAGUUUGAUCCUGGCUCAGAAUCAACGCUGGCGGCGUGCCUAACACAUGCAAGUCGAACGAGAAAGGGUAGCAAUACCUGAGUAAAGUGGCGCACGGGUGAGUAACACGUGACUGACCUACCCCGGAGUGGGGAAUAACUGAGGGAAACCUUAGCUAAUACCGCAUAAUACCCACGGGUCAAAGGAGCAAUUCGCUUCG
rnacentral:rRNA from 1 species